rnacentral:rRNA from 1 species
CAGUCGAACGAAGCACUCUAUUUGGUUUUCUUCGGAAAUGAAGAUUUUGUGACUGAGUGGCGGACGGGUGAGUAACGCGUGGGUAACCUGCCUCAUACAGGGGGAUAACAGUUGGAAACGACUGCUAAUACCGCAUAAGCGCACAGGAUCGCAUGGUCCGGUGUGAAAAACUCCGGUGGUAUGGGAUGGACCCGCGUCUGAUUAGCCAGUUGGCAGGGUAACGGCCUACCAAAGCGACGAUCAGUAGCCGACCUGAGAGGGUGACCGGCCACAUUGGGACUGAGACACGGCCCAAACUCCUACGGGAGGCAGCAGUGGGGAAUAUUGCACAAUGGGGGAAACCCUGAUGCAGCGACGCCGCGUGAGCGAAGAAGUAUUUCGGUAUGUAAAGCUCUAUCAGCAGGGAAGAAAGUGACGGUACCUGAAUAAGAAGCCCCGGCUAACUACGUGCCAGCAGCCGCGGUAAUACGUAGGGGGCAAGCGUUAUCCGGAUUUACUGGGUGUAAAGGGAGCGUAGACGGCAAGGCAAGUCUGAAGUGAAAGCCCGGUGCUUAACGCCGGGACUGCUUUGGAAACUGUUUGGCUGGAGUGCCGGAGAGGUAAGCGGAAUUCCUAGUGUAGCGGUGAAAUGCGUAGAUAUUAGGAAGAACACCAGUGGCGAAGGCGGCUUACUGGACGGUAACUGACGUUGAGGCUCGAAAGC